rnacentral:rRNA from 1 species
GACGGAAGGUGCAAGCGUUGCUCGGAAUCACUGGGCGUAAAGGGCGCGUAGGCGGUCAGCACAAGUCAGUUGUGAAAUCUCCGGGCUUAACUCGGAAAGGUCAACUGAUACUGUGCGACUAGAGUGCAGAAGGGGCAACUGGAAUUCUCGGUGUAGCGGUGAAAUGCGUAGAUAUCGAGAGGAACACCUGCGGCGAAGGCGGGUUGCUGGGCUGACACUGACGCUGAUGCGCGAAAGCCAGGGGAGCGAACGGG